rnacentral:pre_miRNA from 1 species
UCGAGGAGCUCACAGUCUAGUACGUGCCACCCUACUAGACUGGCGCUCCUUGAGG